rnacentral:lncRNA from 1 species
AUCAGGUACCGAGUGCGUAUGGGCGGGUAGGCAUGGCGUUCCACUCCGGGGGCAGCAGUUCAAGCUAGCUGCGUAAGCUCGUAUUACCGUGGGCGCGUACGAUUUGACGGUAAUCUGAUCCGAGACUGCAUAUACCACUGUCUGAAGGUAACACAAGCUGAAGCUAACACAUUGGUGAACUAGUACAACAUCUGACACACACAUCACCCAUGGUACACCACUGUCUGAAGUCUGAACCUUCGGAAUAAUAUACUUCUCUGGUAUUUCUCUGCCUACUAAUUUUUCAUCUGCUAAUCUAUUGCUUCUGAUGUGUUUGCUUCUUAUUUUGUUGGUAAUUGUUUGCUCUAUAUGUGUAGGGAAUUGACUGCAAAUAUUUCCUCUGGCAUGAUGAUCCGCACACUCCAUUUGUGAAUCUGUUACUUGGUGAUUUAUGCGAUGUUGUGUAUCGACUGAAGGAACGACUGAGGAAUGAAAAUGAUUUGCUCAACGCCAGCUUGUCGAAGAACAAAAUGUUGGAUGCGUAUGUGUGUGAUUUGGAUGUCAAGCAUCAUGGAGAAGUUGAUGUCUUGAAGAAUAAGAUUCAGAAACUGCAGUUAUUCUUUGUGCUUGCUCUGUUCUGCUUUGUCAUUUCACACUUGGAAAUGAUUGUCCUGAAGAAGAAGCUAGUUUGUGAAGGAGUCAAGAAGAAGCUAGUUUGUGAAGGAGUCAAGAAGAAGAAGAAGAGGAAGAAGCUAGUUUGUGAAGGAGUCAUUUAUGUAUGUUGUUUUGCUUUGUGAGCUUUUAACCAAGAUUCAGAAUGUAUGCUGUUAAAAGGAUUCAGAAUUUGUACUGUAUCUUCUUUUGCAAAAUUCAGAAUUUGGUACAAUGCCUUUUGCAAGUGUUGUGAAAAGAUUCAGAAUUUGGUACAAUGCCUCUCGCAAGUGUUAUGAAAAGAUCUAGAAUUUGGUACAAUGCAAAAUCUCAGUUUUAUGUCUGAUCUUAUAUGUGUUGUGAUGUAUGCAACACUAUGUUUUAUCUACGAUGAACCAAAUAUACAAAUAUAUUGUUUGCUGUCAUGAAAAGAUCAUCUACAAUGAACCAAAUAUUAGAAAAAAAAUACAAAUAUAUUGUAUGUUGUUAUGAACAGCAUAAAAUAUGCAGUGAACCAAAU